GUCGAGGGGCAGCAUUUUGCUAGCAAUAGUAAAGAUGGCGACCGGCGCACGGGUGAGUAACACGUAUCCAACCUACCUUUAACUCGGGGAUAGCCUUUCGAAAGAAAGAUUAAUACUCGAUAGUAUAUGUUUCCCGCAUGAGAAACAUAUUAAAGAAUUUCGGUUAUAGAUGGGGAUGCGUUCCAUUAGGCAGUUGGUGAGGUAACGGCUCACCAAACCUUCGAUGGAUAGGGGUUCUGAGAGGAAGGUCCCCCACAUUGGAACUGAGACACGGUCCAAACUCCUACGGGAGGCAGCAGUGAGGAAUAUUGGUCAAUGGGCGUAGGCCUGAACCAGCCAAGUAGCGUGAAGGAUGACUGCCCUAUGGGUUGUAAACUUCUUUUAUAUGGGAAUAAAGUGAUCCACGUGUGGAUUUUUGUAUGUACCAUAUGAAUAAGGAUCGGCUAACUCCGUGCCAGCAGCCGCGGUAAUACGGAGGAUCCAAGCGUUAUCCGGAUUUAUUGGGUUUAAAGGGAGCGUAGGUGGGCUGGUAAGUCAGCUGUGAAAGUUUGCGGCUCAACCGUAAAAUUGCAGUUGAUACUGUCAGUCCUGAGUACAGUAGAGGUUAGCGGAAUUCGUGGUGUAGCGGUGAAAUGCUUAGAUAUCACGAAGAACUCCAAUUGCGAAGGCAGCUGACUAGACUGUUACUGACACUGAUGCUCGAAAGUGUGGGUAUCAAACAGGAUUAGAUACCCUGGUAGUCCACACAGUAAACGAUGAAUACUCGCUGUUUGCGAUAUAC
rnacentral:rRNA from 1 species